rnacentral:rRNA from 1 species
UGAAUACGAGAUGCUACGGCGUCGAAGCAGUGUAUGUCAGACUUCCAAGAAAAGCUCGCAAUGUCAUAAAUAAAGAAUGCCUGUACCAUAACCGACACAGGUGGGUAGGUAGAGUAUACUAAGGGGCGCGAGAUAACUCUCUCUAAGGAACUCGGCAAAAUAACUCCGUAACUUCGGGAGAAGGAGUGCCUUCUUUAAGAAGGUUGCAAUAACAAGAUCCAAGCAACUGUUUAUCAAAAACACAGGUCUCCGCUAAGUCGUAAGACGAUGUAUGGGGGCUGACGCCUGCCCAGUGCCAGAAGGUUAAAGAAGUUGGUUAGCUUUUGCGAAGCUGAUGACUGAAGCCCUGGUGAACGGCGGCCGUAACAGUAACGGUCCUAAGGUAGCGAAAUUCCUUGUCGGGUAAGUUCCGACCCGCACGAAAGGCGUAAUGAUUUGGAUACUGUCUCGGAGAGGGACUCGGUGAAAUAGACUUGUCUGUGAAGAUGCGGACUACCUGCACCAGGACAGAAAGACCCUAUGAAGCUUUACUGUAACUUGAAAUUGAAAUUGGACUUUAUUUGCGCAGUAUAGGUGGAAGGCGUUGAAAGUAAUCUUGCGGGAUUAGUGGAGCCAUCAGUGAGAUACCACUCCUAUAAUGUUAGAUUUCUAACUUUGGAUCAUGAUCUGGUCAAAGAACAGUUUCAGGCGGGCAGUUUGACUGGGGCGGUCGCCUCCCAAAUGGUAACGGAGGCGUACAAAUGUUUCCUCUGAACGGGUAGAAAUCGUAUCUAGAGUGUAAAGGCAUAAGGAAGCUUGACUGUGAGACCUACAAGUCGAGCAGGGACGAAAGUCGGUCUUAGUGAUCUGACGGUGCUGAGUGGAAAGGCCGUCACUCAACGGAUAAAGGUUACUCUAGGAUAACAGGCUGAUCUCCCCCAAGAGUUCACAUCGACGGGGAGGUUUGGCACCUCGAUGUCGGCUCAUCGCAUCCUGGGGCGGUAGUACGUCCCAAGGGUUGGGCUGUUCGCCCAUGAAAGCGGUACGCGAGCUGGGUUCAGAACGUCGUGAGACAGUUCGGUCCAUAUCCGGUGUAGGCGUUAGAAUAUUGAGAGGAGCCUUCUUUAGUACGAGAGGACCGAGAAGGACAUACCUCUGGUGUACCAGUUAUCGUGCCAACGGUAAACGCUGGGUAGCUAUGUAUGGAGAGGAUAACCGCUGAAAGCAUCUAAGUGGGAAGCCCACCUCAAGAUGAGUAUUCUCA